GGUCCCAUGGUUUAGUGGUUAGGACAUUGGACUCCAGUAACCCGAGUUCAAAUCUCGGUGGGACCU
rnacentral:tRNA from 1 species